rnacentral:rRNA from 1 species
CUUGGUCAUUUAGAGGAAGUAAAAGUCGUAACAAGGUUUCCGUAGGUGAACCUGCGGAAGGAUCAUUACAGUAGUCACCCGGGGCGCCGCAAGGCCUCCCGGGUAACCUACCACCCUUUGUUUAUUACACUUUGUUGCUUUGGCAGGCCUGCCCUCGGGCUGCUGGCUCCGGCCGGCGAGCGCUUGCCAGAGGACCUAAACUCUGUUUGUCUAUACUGUCUGGGUACUACAUAAUAGUUAAAACUUUCAACAACGGAUCUCUUGGUUCUGGCAUCGAUGAAGAACGCAGCGAAAUGCGAUAAGUAAUGUGAAUUGCAGAAUUCAGUGAAUCAUCGAAUCUUUGAACGCACAUUGCGCCCCCUGGUAUUCCGGGGGGCAUGCCUGUCCGAGCGUCAUUACAACCCUCAAGCUCAGCUUGGUGUUGGGCCCCGCCGCCCCGGCGGGCCCUAAAGUCAGUGGCGGUGCCGUCCGGCUCCGAGCGUAGUAAUUCUUCUCGCUCUGGAGGUCCGGUCGUGUGCUUGCCAUCAACCCCCAAUUUUUUUCAGGUUGACCUCGGAUCAGGUAGGGAUACCCGCUGAACUUAAGCAUAUCAAUAAGCGGAGGA